ensembl:snRNA U6 U6 spliceosomal RNA
GUGCUGGCUUUGGUAGCACAUAUACUAAAAUUGGACAAUAUAGGAUUAGCAUGGCCUUUGUGUGAAGAUGACAUGCAAAUUUAUGAAUUUUUCUGUAUUUUA